GGCGGCGGCUGCGGCGGCAGCCGCGGCGCCUGCCCCUCUCGUGGCUGCGGGGCGCACGGGGAAAGAUGGGCCCCAGUCCCUGGCGCUUCCUAGCCAAGGCGGUGCAGCCUGCAUCCCUCGCUCUGGCACCUCCAGCCUCCGGGUAUGCCCAGCGCCGCUAGUCUCUUCAUCCAGAAGGGAUUUCUGACCGUUUAGGAGCAAGCUGACGUCACCCAACCACAGAGUCAUGGGACCCAGAGCAGCUGGGAAGAAGAGCCACUGGGUCUUGGCAUCGUCUGAUUCCUGACAAAGGAAGCCACGGAUGGAGAGUCUUAGAACCAUAAAGAAACAGAAUGUGGGGGUAAACAGAAGCACUGUGGAGUUCUAUCAUCCUGUACCCACCACCACAGGGACAGUAAAUUAGCUGUUCUGGAGUUUUGGCCUCCCAUGGGGAGGCACUCACUCACCUGUAAAAUGACUUUGGUAGCCCAGCCUUUCUGCCUAUCAUGCCGAAUGUGACAGCUGUGAUUCUGGGCCAACGGUGCCACCACGUGGAGAGGCUGAGGGAGGUGUUGUGGAUGAGGCCUCAGGGGUCACUUCUAAGUCUCCCACCUGAAGGUGUCUGGGGUCAGCUGUGGGUAGAGCAUGCCCAGCCCCUUGUCAGACCUCAGCUUGCCUUCCCCCAAGUGCAAUGACUCCUCCUGGAACAGUGGUCUCUACAGCCCUGGCCAGUCUGCAUUAGGUGCAGAGGGCAACCUGCUUGAUCCCGAGAUGACUCAAGAUGUUGGUAUCACUACCCUCAGGGCGUGAAUCACAGCUCAGGCCCCUCAGGGGCCAAGAUUGAGGUUAAUGGGGUGGGUGUUCAGAGCGUCCAGUUAGGAUAUGGCCUGGGUGGUGGCGUCCUUCCUGCACUGCCCAUGACCUGCCCACAAUCUCCAACUCCUUCCACACCAAGAACCUCACUCCUUCUGUGCACCCCCAUUGCCACCUGUGGGCUCCAUCAGUGAAGGCAGAGGAAGCAUGCAUCCCUCGUCACCCCUCCCCAGACUGAAGAAAUGGGGUGUCAGCUCCCCACAUCUCCUGCCAGCUUCCCUCCUGCCCAGGAGGACAGUGUUUCCACCACGCCGCUGGGCCAGGAAAGCAUGUGUUCUCAUGGUCAGGUCUCAUGGUCAGGAAAGCAUGUGUUCUCAUGUCCCAACUCAGUUGGCAUCCCCUGUCUCUGAAUCCUCCACUGCUCUACAGUCCAGUUCCUUCCUCAUAGUCUAGAGGCUAGGUGUUACUUUAAAUGGACUUAGUUCUUCUCAUUUCCAGUUCCAUUACUUGUUGAUGCUAUGAAGAAAUACCUUGAUUUUAGCACAUUGAAUAUGUAU